rnacentral:sRNA from 1 species
CAGCUGCCAAAAAGGCCCAUACAAAUUUUCACUUUUCCCACAAUUCAGUUUCAAAUUUUUUCUCGCUCAACAUAAAAAAAUCAAAAAAUUACCCAAAAUCAAAAAUAUACACUCACACGAUCCACAACAAGACAAGAUACCGGAAAAAACAACAAGCAACACACCCAUAUAUGAACACAAAAGCCCCAGGACUCUCGAUCCUCUCAGGAAAUCUCCGCCCAGCUCAACUUUCAAAACUUUCAAAGCCAAAGCCUGACGAUCUUGAAAAACAUCUCUUAGCCAGCGAAGUCCAUCGAUGACGGUUGAUCCGCAACCAGAUAACUAGAUAACCAGAUAACAAAUUGGUAACCUGAACUAAGACUCAAUAGCAAGGAACAGAGAUCUCUGCAGCAUCAAUCAAGCAACUCAAUCUUAAGCACUUUCCACAGACAUUCUAUCAAUCAAUCGAUGUUAAGCAGUGCAAUUGCGUGCCAUUGAAUCCAUAACUCUUUUUUUUGGCCCAAUUGACACCAAAAACAAACAAAAACAAAAUACCACUAAUGUAACAAUUUUUUUGAAGCCCACAAAAAGGACGAGUAAAGCAAAAAAAUUAAAACGCAACGCACAACCAAGUUUCGAGAACAAAAAAAAACACCAAAAGUUUAAAUUCAAAUCGUAAAAGACAGUUGCAAAGGCCCGUGAAAAAAAUCCAAAAUAAGAAAUGCAAACGCGACUUUAAAACCAAAACCACUGACAAACGCUUUUUUUUCACACCGGUUCAGCAAAGGUCAGCGAAAGUUUCGACUCGGCAAAAAGAAAAGAAAAUUACCAAAAAUAUUAAAAAAGAAAACAACAACAACAAAAAAACCCUAAAUACAAAUUGUAAAUUCCGUCAAGGAUAUGAGUAAAUCAAGUAAUUGAGCGCGCUAAAUUCAAAAAGUCAUCAUUCCACACGUAACAUCCGAAACGAAGCAGAGUUAAAAGCAGGAGUUAAACGAAGACAAGCUUAAAAAUACAAAACAUAUAUAUUGAAAUAUUUCAAAAGCGAUCCGGAUCCGAUUCGCGACCAAAUCAAAUUGUAAAGUGUUCGACCAGCGAUUUUUUGCACAACUUCGGUUUCAGUCAGGCAUAUAGAGAUAGAGAUAUAGAUAUAGAUAUAGAUAUAUAUAUAUUU